rnacentral:misc_RNA from 1 species
GAUGAAGAACGCAGCGAAGUGCGAUAAGUAGUGUGAAUUGCAGAAUUUCGUGAAUCAUCGAAUCUUUGAACGCAAAUUGCACUCUCCGGUUUUCCGGGAGAGUAUGUCUGUUUGAGGGUCAGCCAAAAUAAAUUCGGCUUUGUUGCUGUGUUUUCGCGGUAACGUUUUGUCGGAAUUUGGGUCAUCUUAAACCGAAAGGUUUUUAAGCGACUUAAAAUUUUUUUUACGAUCCCACGAACGUUUCUAAGAUCUUCUUACACGUUCAAGGUGUCGAAAACCCCUAUUAGACGUGGCCGUCGUAUCGGAUCGCGUCCAUAAUAUUUAUUCUUUAACUGACCUCAGACAGGUAAGAGUACCCGCUGAACUUAAGCAUAUCAAUAAGCGGAGGA